GAUGAACGCUAGCGGCAGGCUUAACACAUGCAAGUCGAGGGGCAGCGUGAUGAAGUAGCAAUACGGAUUUGACGGCGACCGGCGCACGGGUGCGUAACGCGUAUGUAACCUACCUUUAACAGGGGGAUAACACUGAGAAAUUGGUACUAAUACCCCAUAACACAUUAGGGGGCAUCUUCUUAUGUUGAAAGUUCCGGCGGUUAAAGAUGGACAUGCGUUGUAUUAGCUAGAUGGUGAGGUAACGGCUCACCAUGGCGACGAUACAUAGGGGGACUGGGAGGUUAACCCCCCACACUGGUACUGAGACACGGACCAG
rnacentral:rRNA from 1 species